AUUGAACGCUGGCGGAAUGCUUUACACAUGCAAGUCGAACGGCAGCACGGACUUCGGUCUGGUGGCGAGUGGCGAACGGGUGAGUAAUGUAUCGGAACGUGCCCAGUCGUGGGGGAUAACGUAGUGAAAAUUACGCUAAUACCGCAUACGAUCUAUGGAUGAAAGCGGGGGAUCGCAAGACCUCGCGCGAUUGGAGCGGCAGAUAUCAGAUUAGGUAGUUGGUGGGGUAAAGGCCCACCAAGCCAACGAUCUGUAGCUGGUCUGAGAGGACGACCUGCCACACUGGAACUGAGACACGGUCCAGACUCCUACGGGAGGCAGCAGUGGGGAAUUUUGGACAAUGGGCGAAAGCCUGAUCCAGCCAUUCCGCGUGCAGGAUGAAGGCCCUCGGGUUGUAAACUGCUUUUGUACAGAACGAAAAGGUCUCUACUAAUACUAGGAGCUCAUGACGGUACUGUAAGAAUAAGCACCGGCUAACUACGUGCCAGCCGCCGCCGUAA
rnacentral:rRNA from 1 species